GAUCUAAAUCUGCAUUUACCGACUCUACUUCUAAUUAUAAUUCAACACGCGCACAGUGAAGCACCAAAAAACGCAACUGCACAACCCCAAUCAUUAUUAUACAUUUUUACAUGCUGCUGUGUGGACUACUGUGAUGAGUACUGUGCCCAAAUGCCCAAAACCAAAAGUGUUACAAAGUCCGGCCCAGCCCACAACAUUAAUUUCCAGUUUCCCUCACAUUGACGACACUGAAACGAUUUUAUAUUGUACUGCCCCGCAUUGAUGAUUAGCUUGUGCAGACACGUCUCCUGAAGCUAUCUCAUAUUUGUGAUAUUAACAUAUUUCCUGGAAAAUUAAUCACAAAAAAAUAAUUCUAAUCAAAUUACAUAAACAAAGCUUAUAAUUUUCCUUCGUAGGGGACUUUUCAACCUUAAUAUAAUCAUUCAAAAGUUUACAAAAAUUUGUUCAACUUGAUAAUAUAAUAUUACAACAAUACUGUACUAAAAUAUCGGGUUGUGUUAAGUACACACAUGCACCCACAUGCUAUAAUACUAUACCAAACUAUUGGGUUGUGUUUAGUACACACAUCUUUUCCAUAUCAAAAUAUUAUUGGCUUUAAAAUAUCACAGCCAUUUUAAGCAACAUAUCAACCUUGUGCUCUAUGCAAGAGCAUAUAAACAAAUGUUACCUUACGCUCACCUCUUGAGGACUUGAAAAUUGAAAUAUUAUGGGGUUCCUUUAGAAUUAGCUCUAGGGCUAGAAGUUUUGCUUCAACAGAAAGUCUCAUAGUUGCAAGUUCAUCAAAAAUGUCAAAACAAUCUUUUUUGUUAUGGAACAUGCAUUGAGCUAGUGUAUUCAUGUUGAGCUAAAGGGCAAAUUUUCUUCUUCUUUUCAUAUCUAAAAACAAAUAGAUAAAGCAUCAAUUACUAACAAACCCUAAAACAUGGAAAAAAAACUAAAAAACCAUUUACAGAACCCUAACCUCUUUUCCCAAUUGUCAGAUAAAAGUACUAGUGCUAGAAUGCACGGUAAAUAAAAUGUAAAUAUCAAAUCAGAAUUUUCAAAUAUCGUAAAUAGAAACAAAAAUAGAAACAAGUAGGUAUUGAUAUUUUUUUUUACCCAACAAACAUGUAAUUACAACUUUAUUACUUUACGCAUUUCCCAAUAAUAAUUCCUUUGUACCUAAAACCUCUUUUGCCUUAAUCAUCUUUAAUUUUGAAUGUUAAAGUGUUAAGAAUCUUUAUCUUAAUUGUUCCCUAGUGAUAUAGCAAAUAAUAUAUAUGUGCUUAUCAUAAUCAUCACUCAAUAUAAGCCUAGAUACAAGCCGCAUGGCUUUUUUAUUUUUUAUUUUUUCAAUUGGUCAAGUUAUGACCACAAAUAGAACCAAAUCAAUAAACAAAAUAUAAGCCGCAUGACAUUUUUCUUUUUUCUUUUUUUAAUUGGUCAAGUUAUGACCAUAACAGAACCAAAUCAACAAACUAAUGUCAACCAUUACACUUUUUUAGAAUGACUAAUGCACGAUAUUUAUUUGGUAUCUAAGCAAAAUCUGAGCAAAAUGUACCUGAAAAUGAAGGAGAACCCAGAAAACUUAUGAAAAUCUUUGAUAGGAACUCGGGAGCAAGACCAAAUUUUCUCUAAAAUUAAUGUGGAUCUGGUUAAUAUUUGAAUGCUUAAUAAAGGUUUGCUAAAGUUAAGUGCUGAAAUUACCUAUAACAAAAGGAUUUGGUAAAAGUUGUCUGCGAAUUUGUUUUUAGAAGCCAAGAAGAAGAUGAUAUGGGUUGUGGGUUCUUUUACUUUUCUUUUAGUUU
rnacentral:lncRNA from 1 species